AGGCGACGAUCCCUAGCUGGUCUGAGAGGAUGACCAGCCACACUGGAACUGAGACACGGUCCAGACUCCUACGGGAGGCAGCAGUGGGGAAUAUUGCACAAUGGGCGCAAGCCUGAUGCAGCCAUGCCGCGUGUAUGAAGAAGGCCUUCGGGUUGUAAAGUACUUUCAGCGGGGAGGAAGGGAGUAAAGUUAAUACCUUUGCUCAUUGACGUUACCCGCAGAAGAAGCACCGGCUAACUCCGUGCCAGCAGCCGCGGUAAUACGGAGGGUGCAAGCGUUAAUCGGAAUUACUGGGCGUAAAGCGCACGCAGGCGGUUUGUUAAGUCAGAUGUGAAAUCCCCGGGCUCAACCUGGGAACUGCAUCUGAUACUGGCAAGCUUGAGUCUCGUAGAGGGGGGUAGAAUUCCAGGUGUAGCGGUGAAAUGCGUAGAGAUCUGGAGGAAUACCGGUGGCGAAGGCGGCCCC
rnacentral:rRNA from 1 species